UGGGGGGACCAUCCUCCAAGGCUAAAUACUACUGACUGACCGAUAGUGAACUAGUACCGUGAGGGAAAGGCGAAAAGAACCCCGGAGAGGGGAGUGAAAUAGAUCCUGAAACCGUAUGCGUACAAGCAGUGGGAGCCUACUUUGUUAGGUGACUGCGUACCUUUUGUAUAAUGGGUCAGCGACUUAUUUUCAGUGGCGAGCUUAACCGAAUAGGGGAGGCGUAGCGAAAGCGAGUCUUAAUAGGGCGUCUAGUCGCUGGGAAUAGACCCGAAACCGGGCGAUCUAUCCAUGGGCAGGUUGAAGGUUGGGUAACACUAACUGGAGGACCGAACCGACUACCGUUGAAAAGUUAGCGGAUGACCUGUGGAUCGGAGUGAAAGGCUAAUCAAGCUCGGAGAUAGCUGGUUCUCCUCGAAAGCUAUUUAGGUAGCGCCUCAUGUAUCACUGUAGGGGGUAGAGCACUGUUUCGGCUAGGGGGUCAUCCCGACUUACCAAACCGAUGCAAACUCCGAAUACCUACAAGUGCCGAGCAUGGGAGACACACGGCGGGUGCUAACGUCCGUCGUGAAAAGGGAAACAACCCAGACCGUCAGCUAAGGUCCCAAAGUUAUGGUUAAGUGGGAAACGAUGUGGGAAGGCUUAGACAGCUAGGAGGUUGGCUUAGAAGCAGCCACCCUUUAAAGAAAGCGUAAUAGCUCACUAGUCGAGUCGGCCUGCGCGGAAGAUGUAACGGGGCUCAAACCAUACACCGAAGCUACGGGUAUCACGUAAGUGAUGCGGUAGAGGAGCGUUCUGUAAGCCUGUGAAGGUGAGUUGAGAAGCUUGCUGGAGGUAUCAGAAGUGCGAAUGCUGACAUGAGUAACGAUAAUGGGUGUGAAAAACACCCACGCCGAAAGACCAAGGUUUCCUGCGCAACGUUAAUCGACGCAGGGUUAGUCGGUCCCUAAGGCGAGGCUGAAAAGCGUAGUCGAUGGAAAACAGGUUAAUAUUCCUGUACUUCUGGUUAUUGCGAUGGAGGGACGGAGAAGGCUAGGCCAGCUUGGCGUUGGUUGUCCAAGUUUAAGGUGGUAGGCUGGAAUCUUAGGUAAAUCCGGGAUUCUAAGGCCGAGAGCUGAUGACGAGUCAUCUUUUAGAUGACGAAGUGGUUGAUGCCAUGCUUCCAAGAAAAGCUUCUAAGCUUCAGGUAACCAGGAACCGUACCCCAAACCGACACAGGUGGUUGGGUAGAGAAUACCAAGGCGCUUGAGAGAACUCGGGUGAAGGAACUAGGCAAAAUGGCACCGUAACUUCGGGAGAAGGUGCGCCGGUGAGGGUGAAGGACUUGCUCCGUAAGCUCAUGCCGGUCGAAGAUACCAGGCCGCUGCGACUGUUUAUUAAAAACACAGCACUCUGCAAACACGAAAGUGGACGUAUAGGGUGUGACGCCUGCCCGGUGCCGGAAGGUUAAUUGAUGGGGUUAGCUAACGCGAAGCUCUUGAUCGAAGCCCCGGUAAACGGCGGCCGUAACUAUAACGGUCCUAAGGUAGCGAAAUUCCUUGUCGGGUAAGUUCCGACCUGCACGAAUGGCGUAACGAUGGCGGCGCUGUCUCCACCCGAGACUCAGUGAAAUUGAAAUCGCUGUGAAGAUGCAGUGUAUCCGCGGCUAGACGGAAAGACCCCGUGAACCUUUACUAUAGCUUUGCACUGGACUUUGAAUUUGCUUGUGUAGGAUAGGUGGGAGGCUUUGAAGCGUGGACGCCAGUUCGCGUGGAGCCAACCUUGAAAUACCACCCUGGCAACUUUGAGGUUCUAACUCAGGUCCGUUAUCCGGAUCGAGGACAGUGUAUGGUGGGUAGUUUGACUGGGGCGGUCUCCUCCUAAAGAGUAACGGAGGAGUACGAAGGUGCGCUCAGACCGGUCGGAAAUCGGUCGUAGAGUAUAAAGGCAAAAGCGCGCUUGACUGCGAGACAGACACGUCGAGCAGGUACGAAAGUAGGUCUUAGUGAUCCGGUGGUUCUGUAUGGAAGGGCCAUCGCUCAACGGAUAAAAGGUACUCCGGGGAUAACAGGCUGAUACCGCCCAAGAGUUCAUAUCGACGGCGGUGUUUGGCACCUCGAUGUCGGCUCAUCACAUCCUGGGGCUGAAGCCGGUCCCAAGGGUAUGGCUGUUCGCCAUUUAAAGUGGUACGCGAGCUGGGUUUAGAACGUCGUGAGACAGUUCGGUCCCUAUCUGCCGUGGACGUUUGAGAUUUGAGAGGGGCUGCUCCUAGUACGAGAGGACCGGAGUGGACGAACCUCUGGUGUUCCGGUUGUCACGCCAGUGGCAUUGCCGGGUAGCUAUGUUCGGAAUAGAUAACCGCUGAAAGCAUCUAAGCGGGAAACUAGCCUCAAGAUGAGAUCUCACUGGGACCUUGA
rnacentral:rRNA from 1 species